rfam:Branchiostoma floridae genomic scaffold BRAFLscaffold_174, whole genome shotgun sequence.
ACACCGGCCCUUUUCAGGGCCACCCAAAUCUUUCGAAAGAAUUGUAU